rnacentral:rRNA from 1 species
UGGCUCAGGAUGAACGCUGGCGGCGUGCAUUUAGACAUGCAAGUCGAANGAAGCACCCUGCGCAGAUNGUUUCGAAGUGAAGCAAAGGGUGACNUANUGGAGAACGGNUGAGUAACAAGUGGGUGACAUGUCCCGAAAUGCNGCAUUACAGGGGGAAACUCAUGGUAAUCCCGCAUAAGAUCCCACCUUUUGUGGUGGGAGUAAAGAUUUAUCGUUGGGGAUGGGCUCGCGGUCCAUCAGGUAGUUGGUAGGGUAAUGGCCUAACAGGGNUAUGCGGCAUAGCGGGCCUGAGANGGUGCCCGGACACAGGGGCAAUGAGAUACGGGCGACUCUUNUACGGGAGGCAGCAGUUAGGAAUAUUCCACAAGGGGCAAAAGCGAGANGGAGCGACGCCGNAGAGGGACGAAGGCAAUGGGGUGUAAACCUCUAAAAGAGGGA